UACGGGGGGGGCAAGCGUUGUUCGGAAUUACUGGGCGUAAAGGGCGCGUAGGCGGUUUGCUAAGUUGGAUGUGAAAACUCAGGGCUUAACCCUGAGCCUGCUUCCGAUACGGGCAGACUAGAGGUAUGCAGGGGAGAACGGAAUUCCUGGUGUAGCGGUGAAAUGCGCAGAUAUCAGGAGGAACACCGGUGGCGAAGGCGGUUCUCUGGGCCUUACCUGACGCUGAGGAGCGAAAGCGUGGGGAGCAAACAGG
rnacentral:rRNA from 1 species